AUUGUUGCCGGAAGAGGACUCCGGGCUGCUGGUAUCUUCGCGCGGCUCCUUCCCCUCCGUUUCCCGGCACGAUGGCGCGUGUUCUGCGGCGGAGCUUGUCUGCUUGGUGGCCGUUUUGUCCCCUGAGUAGUCGUUAGACGACGGAGUUUCUAAGGCGUUAGCGUACGCUGUGUCGAAAAACUGGUCGAAUGCUUGGGGCAGCACCCCAUUUCUGCCAACGUUCCCGUAGAAAUUGGACACUGCACAGCCCGCGCCGGAGUGGUGGUGAUACGCAGCAGCGGCGGUAGGGUUGUUCUUGGCAAACAUUUCCCCCAUGGUGGGCUGCGAGGACAUACAGUCCCGAUGUACCAUGUCCUCCGUGGUGGGGUAACACUGGGGCAGGUUCCCCCGGUGUGACCAUUUACCGGACGCGUCAAUGGCGGCAUAGUCCCUGAACGUCACCUCUCUCACCGGCUGGACCUGAGGCAGGUUAGAGGAGUACGAGUAUGUCAUGGGCCGAGUAGACGGGGUCUGGGACAAAAACGAGGGUAGACCGGAGAAGUCUGCCCCCGCCGAGACGUAGUAGGUGCAACUGGGCAAAUACAUGUUCGAACCGACGGGGACCCGCUCGUCAAAAUCCAUCACUCCUUCACUCUACUACUCUAUGUGGGUCAUGCCUCUAGAGCCGCCCUUUACAUGGCUCUGGAGCGCCCUGGCUCUUGCCUCUUUGAAGCAGGUCCGCGAGGCAGAAAUUUUUAGACGUAGGCUGACGUGGAGAGCAAUCUCCAUCCAUUCCAGGGAGGCGUGGGUCACGUGACCAGCGGCAGAAAUUGACAGCUUUCGCGUGUAUGAGAGCGUGUGUGUGUGCGCAAUGAGAGAGGGUGUGUGAGUGUAUGUGUGAGUCAGCGUGAACGCGCGUGCGCGAGCACGAGGAGUUAUUCAGUGACUGAGUGUGAGUGUGGGACAGACUGCAAGUUGUCCUGAAGCUUGACAUUGGUGGUUUAUCGCUAUGUCGGUCUAAAAUUAAUUCCCUUAUAUGCUGCAAGUCAGAGAAAAAAAUAUAAUUUCAUUGGUUGUUAAAAUGUAGAGAAGUGACAUAUUGCUAUCGAAGGAUUAACCUGAUUCAAUAUCAAUUUUAAAGAUGCUAUGUCCAUUUCGACAUUUAAUCUGGGGGUGCUCGUUGAAUCCAUGCGUCUUGUAAGCUUUAUGGUAUUCCUGAGGGUUUGAUGUCGUCUUUGGUAAAAACCUUAUGCAUUUGAGGCGUGCCAACACGUGUAAUAUCUGUAUCCUCUGGACUUGACCAAAGGACGAGCAUUUCAAUCAAUAGGUCUGGAGGUCAUUUAUAAUAUAAGAGCCCUCACAAAAGCCCGAAAUGUACUGAUGGACCACAGACAUCCUCUUUACCAGGAGUUUGAGCUACUCCCCUCAGGGAGAUGACACAGGGCACCAGGGCAUAAAGUAAUAGUGCCAAACAAUCCUUUGUCCCAGCGACAGUAACGCUCCUGAAUGUUUAAAACGACCAGUGGGACCUGCGGGCUGGCCUACAGCUAACAUUGUAGUUGACAUAGUGUUUUGUUGUGUAUACCCACUGAGCAAAACUGGUUGAAUCAAAGUUUUUUCCACAUCAUUUCAACCCCCAAAAAAUAUGUGAUGACGUGGAAAAGUAAUUGGAUUUGCCAAAAGUCAUCAAGGUAAGGGCAUUUCGAUUUUUUUUUCAACCAACUUUUAACCUAAAUCCAAUGACAUGGUGAAUUGUUUAUGUUCAUUACGCGUUGAAUUCACGUUGACAACUCAACCAAAUGUAAAUCGCGCGUUGAUCUGACAUCUGUGCCCAGUGAGUAUUGUAGUGUACAGAUAAUCACUGAUCGCUCAUGAAUUGCACUUUUUCUAAUACUGCUGAAUAUGAUUGUUUUUACUAGGCAAGUCAGUUAAGAACACAUUCUUAUUUACAAUGACGGCCUACCGGGGAACAGUGGGUUCAGGGGUAGAACAAUAUCAUUUUACCUUGUCAGCUCCGGGAUUUGAUACAGCAACCUUUCGGUUAUUGGCCAAACGCUCUAACCACUAGGCUACCUGCGCACCAGUUGCAAAAAGAACAACGCAAAUAUUAUUUUCAUGUUAUGUUUGAUGUUUGUCACAGGUGUGUGCUCAUACUUUACAAUAUUAUAUCAGGACCGUGUGGCUUCACGGCAACAUUUGUCAAUCAGGGUCAUGUUGAAGUAACCCUUGAUGUUUGGCCAUGUCUCCAGUCAGGUGUCGACGACGCGGCUACCAAACAGACAUUUUAGGCCAUGCAGCACGCAUACAACAACAACAGACAUAGCUCAUAUCGACGCUUGGCUUUUAGAAUAAUCCAAACCCGUAGAUCAUCUCACUUUUGCCACCUAAAAAAAGACGGACGUUUUCUAAACGGUAUUUAAAAAGUUGCCAAUAUUGCACAAUAUUGUUUACGACAGCAAUAACCAAGGAGCCACUGGAUCAGUAGGCUUACUUCAUAUUGGACCACAGGAAGUAUGUAAAUAGAUAGAGAGAAAUGUGCGAUUGUGGGUGUCUGUCUGAAUAUUUGGAAAAUUGGAAAUGCCUAAUUGGAAAUGGACGUUUGUUGAAUCAUACAUAUUAUACAAAUUAUAGUUAAUUACUAGUUAGGUUACACAAUUAGGCUUCUACUACACAAUUAGAUUGUUUUUAGCUUGAACUCCACAACUUGUGAAUGAUAGGCCUAUACGGAUAUUGCUCUCACCGCCUAUAAGUAAGGCUAAGAAUAUUAAUACGCACAGAUCGCACAAUGCGUAACUUCCCGUUUCACGCACAGAUAUUUCUAUGCAUUGAGUAAAUAAGCAUGCCUCUAUGAUCUACAAGACAUUGUGAAAUACAAUACAAUUUUGUUUUUGCCGACUGAGCCCCCUUCAGCGGUCCAGAAAAUAGUCCAGACAAUAUUCGAAUUCUUGGUGAGAACGUCAACACCCUACAACUGUCACUAUUGUGGAAUACAUUGAUUUUGAAUCAACUUUUUGUUUUGAAUGAUUUCUCCAGAUAUUAUCCUCGUUUAAACCCAAUUUCCCGAGAAACGUUUAAACAAUUUUCAUGGAAUCCGUAGGCCUAUGGGCAAUAUUUAUUUUCGAAACCAUUAUUCGUUCUGAAGACCAUGUUGGGUAAACACUUAUUUCAUCAUUAACACGUGAUGUAUAGACAAUCUAACCAAAGGUGGAACACUAGUCAAAAAAGGUUAAUGCUUAAACAUUAAAAAAAGGCCAACGCUCUAUCUCAUAAUUACACAAAAUACAAUAAACUGCAUGUUCCUCACGAGUGUUGUAGGCCUACCCAUUUCGCAACCAUUAAAUAGAAUGAAAACACAUAGGCAUAUGAAUCAUUAACAACCCAAUAAAGUAUAUUAUACAAUUAAGAUGUUGCCUUGAAAUAAAAAACAAUAUCUAUCUCGAUGUAUCCUUUUGGAGUGUGUUGUUUGAUGAUACCUUUUCAUUACAAUGCUAAGAGUAUAGCAUUAUUCUCUUGUCUUGACUACAGGAUAGCUAAGAUAUCAGUCUCCUUGCGUGUUAUGCGUUAAUUUCCAAAGCACAACAACAGUGUAAAGGACCACAGCGGUGUGCUGUGUGCCUUGUGAGACUGUGGAAUCUGACUCCAAUGUUCUGUGAACGAGCAACCAGAGGACGGAUUAGGACCGCGGGGACUCUCUCCUUGUCCCGCAGCGCUUUACCCAAAUCUACUCUGCCUUUCCCUCCACACACACGGAGCUUCAGGACGCGCCAACAUGACACAUGUAGGCCUAAUGUAAUACGACUUCGAAAGCAUAACAUGUACAAAGAAACGGUACGUAUGAGCUAAACCCCUCUUCCCCUCCAAAAAAGAGAAGCAUUAGAAUAUCCCUGGUUAUCCGUCCAUGCAUCGUCACGUUAAAUAAUUGUGGAGACACAAACAAACACAAUGCCUUCGCGACCACACGCUCCGCCUCUUCGUCAAACCAGACACAUUCUACGACUUGUGCUAAGCCGUAAUUGAGCACAGGGUGCCCAGGAAAACCAGUGGCUGCUCUGCACAGACCUGAGUUUUUAUAGUGCCUUAGCUCCUAUUUUUCCUUCCCCGCCAGACACCAUCAAACCGACCAGGCGUGAUAGGAAGUUGCCACCUACAACGGACUCAGGAGGCAAAGCCGUGCAGCGACAUAUAAAAAAACAGACAUUCUAAACCUAAACAGGUCACAGAAAUGUUGGGAGAGGGCGAUGGCGACGACAGAGGGACAGAGGAGGGACCACACAAGGACAAACCCCGACUAGUGGGAACACGAUUCAACUCCAUGGUCAAUGGGAGGACGUGGCUUUAGCCGUACCAUCUCUUGGAUCAAUUCAAGGGAAACGACUGAUAUCAGUCUCUCAUUUAACUCUCAAGGACAGAGUACCACAAAACGAGUAAAAUGACAUCAGCGAUGGAGAGUGGACAACCGCAAGAACCGAACUAAACUUGUGUUGGAAUAUGGGUUAUAAUCAUGUGGAUUUAGCUCAGAAUUGGCGAGCAAAUAACUUCACAAGGCAAAAGCUACAUUUUAAAAAUUGUCGCCAUGGACCUUUGGCUUAGCCUAUGUACAUAAUGUUGCAAUGGCUAUUGCUUAAUAAAUUGUGAAACAAAACUG